rnacentral:lncRNA from 1 species
UUAGUAUCCAGCCUGCUCCCUUUGUUCAGUCGGAAGACUUUUCUUUUGAAAAAGACUUUUUAGUCCCGUCCAACAAGAGAGGUAAAGCCUUUCUAUUCAAAUGAGACGCACUCCCAUUGUCUCGCUAAGGUCAGCAGCAGGACAUAGAGCAGGGAUUGAGUAGUCUUGGGAGGCGGACUUAUAUUCCCCGGUUACGAGUUGACGACGUUUUCACUACUCAAACUUGAAAAAGUCUUUUACACCUUCGGGAAAGCGUACCGGAAGACCCAACUUUCGCUUAAAAUCCCAGUUUGGAUGAGCAGAGUUAGGCUCGAUUUCGAUUCAUACUGAAAAAUAGGUGAAUAGUUGAUAGCAGAU